UCCAGACGCACACUGUCCAGGGACGCUGAACCAGCCUGAAGCAAACACAGGUCCAACAGAAACCCAAAACACCAGCCCCCCACACUGCGGAAAGCGCCUCGACGAGUUAGCAUCUCUCCUCCUUUGCUCCGUCUGCCUACACUGCCCCAGCAGAUGGGAGAGCAUGGCGGCCACGUCACCUAGCAACCGGAACACCCCUCCUCCAUCAGCACCCAGCCGGGGGCUCCAUCCAGUAGCAGGGGCAGAAGCCAGGUGAGAGAACCGAAGGGCUGGCUUCCGGUCCCUGCACACGGGAUGCAGACAGGAGAAGACCAAGGACCAAUGGCAGUCAUCAGCCAGCAAGUGGAGCCCAGGCACAACCAGCCUCUCACAACACUCCAGGGACAAGGGCCUUAGAUCUCGUCACCAAACUCUCAGAGCACCAGGCGCGUCUGAAGAGUCACCCACUCAGCUGUGACGGCGGAAUCACCUGGGACCCUGCCCCUGCCCUACCUCUCCCCGGUUGGCCAUCUCUUGGUGAGGCUUCCUUUUCAGGCCACUGCUAACAAUCAAGACCCAGCUCCCUCCCCGAGGCCUCAGCCCACCGGACAUCUGACCGCUCAUCUGGCGGUCAGGGCUGGGCCCUGGGCCUGUGCAGCCCCCAGAGCAGUGCCUGGGACCUAGCAGAUGCCUGAGAAUUUCUGUGCACCGCUCGAGGACUCCACCAACCCAACAAGAGACAUUUCUCUCUCUCCUUGGAAACAGGACUGACCUGGAGCAGGUGAACGGAACCCGUGCUGAGCCAGGCACCCAUCACUGCGCUUCCCUCUCUUUGGGCUGCGUUUUUGGAGAGAGAGAGAGAGAGAGAGAGAUCCUCCAUCCACUGGCUCACUCCCCAAAAGCCCCCAACAGCCGGGGCUGGGCCAGGGCGAAGCCAGAAGCUUGCAACUCGUUCCUGAGCUCCCAGAGCCUUUGUUGGGCGCCGCCCAGGGCGUGCAUCCGCCGGAAGCAGGGUCUCUAACCUUUGCGCUGAACCUUGGGCAGGGUCUUGAGCCCCGCCCCAAACGCAGGCCCUCACCUCCAUCUCAAGGCAAGGACGUCGACAAGGAGCACCAGCUCCCUUCCAGAAUCGCGGUCCCCACCUGCGGGUUCCUGCAAACACUGUGCCCCUCAGCUCACCGCCUCUGCCCCACGCCCGUUACCUGCAGGCAAGAAGCUGCCGCUGCCCCGUCCCCUCUUCCUCCAGGACCCUGACCAAGGGCUGACCCCCAGCUCCUUGUCUUUCUCUUUUACAGUGGAUUGAUCUCAUUGCUUUUGGAACCGCCAGGGGUUUCUGAGCAUGAAUUAGGGUUUGACCGGGUCCUGGGCCUAGCUGCAGUCGGGCAGGUGUGACCACUGUAGCCUCAGCCGGAUCCUGCAGCACGCAUGCGCAGCAGGGUGAAAAGUACACACCCACGGCUGCCAGGGUGGCUUUGUCUUGCCAAGCAUCUCCUGAGAAAACUAGCAAGAAUAAAGCAGGGGUCAGCGCUGUGGCCUAGCGACAUCCCACGUGGGUGAUGGUUCCAGCCCGAUCCAGCUCCUGCUGAAGUCCUUGGGCGGCUGCACUCAGGUGGGAGACAUGGUUGGUGCUCCUGGCCCAGCAGUGGCCAUGUGGGGAGCGAACUAGCAGAUUGGAAGUUUUAUGUAUUUUAUGUUUUUUAUGUAUUUUAUGUAUUUUAUGUUUUAUAUAUAUGUGUAUAUAUAUAUAUAUAACUGUGCCUUUCAUAAAUAAAGAAAUCUAUUUUUCUUUUAUUUACUUAUUUAUUUAUUUAUUUAUUUGAAAGGCACAGUUACAAAGAGGCAGAGGCAGACAGAGUCUUCCAUUCACUGGUUCACUCCCCAAAUGGCCACAACGGCGAAUCCAAAGCCAGGAGCUUCCUCCAGGUCUCCCCACAGGUGCACUUGGGCCACCUUGCACUGCUUUCCCAGGCCAUAGCAGAGAGCUGGAUCAGAAGUGGAGCAGCUGGGACUCAAACCGGCGCCCAAAUGGGAUGCCAGCACUGCAGGAGACAGCUUUACCCACCACGCCACAGUGCCACCGGCCUGCAAUAAAUAAAUCUCAAAAAAAAAAAAGGAAUAAAGGAGAGAGUUCAAAGCUCUGCCCUGUUUACAAGACCGACGUCAUCCCCGGGCUUCUCACACACUGGUGUCUCCUCUUAGGUGUGCUACUGCAGAGAGAGCACACGGACAACCUCGGGUGUCCCCCACCACAGAAGCACGGAGUCACUCCCUCCCCGUUUCUACCAGGCCUGGCAUUGCACGCUGGCUUCCAAGUUGCUCCCGCAAGAGGCGCCCAGUCUGGUAAAGAUGGCAGAGGCGAGCAGGCACCUCCCGAGUGUGCACCAGCUGUGUCAUCAAGCGAGGGAGGAGCUGGGGAAACACAGGGCAAGCAACCUUGUUGUCCCCACCAAUGAGACAGAUCUUAACAAUGUAUUGUGUUUUACCUGAUAUGUCCUUACUAUUAUCAUAUCAACAUGAAUCAAAAACUUGUUUAGAAUUUUUUAUUUACUUAUUUUAUUCCAAGACAGAGACAGAUCUCCGAUCUACUGGCUCACUGCCCAAAAACCCUACAGCGACCGGGGCUGGGCCAGGCCGCAGCCAGGAGCCCAGACUGCCAGCCGGGUCUCCCACGUGGGUGCAGGGACCCACUCUGCCGCCUCCAGAGUGCAGGUGAGCAGGGAGCUGGAGCUGGAAGCAGGGGCAGGAUUAUAAGCCAAGCACAAUGGAACAUCCCAAGGAGCAGCUUAACUGCCACACCUGAUUUUGAAGCAUCGCAUCUUCAGCCUGGAAGCAAACGGAGUCUACAACAGCCAAUGCACCAGCCUGGGAUCCACCUGCCCGCCCCUUCCCUGCGAAUGUAGUCCUCUCCUGCCCAGGGCCACCCUCCACCUGCCCCCUGCCCUGAGAGACAGCGGGCUUCAUGCACCUCCUACAACAGAACACCUGUGGUGGGGUUGGCUAUAAGGGGAGAUGUGGACUUGGGCUCCUUUCCAGAGGCUGGAAGUCCCAGGCCAGGUGGCCACACCUGGUGAGGGCCCUGUGCUGCUUCAUGACAUGGGGGAAGCUGGAAGGGCAAGUGGGCAUGUGCAGAGGACAGGGGGCACAGGAUAGCCUUGCUGUGUGCCCACCGAUCCUCCAGUAAUGACUCUGGUCCCACGAAAGGGAGAACUCGCUCCUGCAGGAAAGGCAGGUAAAACUACCCCCUACAGCGCUGGUUCGAGUCCCAGCUGCUCCACUUCUGAUCCAGCUCUCUGCUAUGGCCUGGGAAAGCAGCAGAAGAUGGCCCAAGUGCUUGGGCCCUUGAACCACAUGGGAGACCCAGAAGAAGCUCCUGGCUCCUGGCUUCAGAUAGGCACAGCUCCAGCUGUUGUAGCCAUUUGGGAAGUGAACCAGAGGAUAGAAGACCCCUCUCCCUCCCUCUCUCCCUUCCUCUCUCUCUCUCUCUCUCUCUCUCUCUGCCUCUCUGUAAAUCUGCCUUUCAAAUAAAUAAGUAAAUCUUUUUUUAAA